rnacentral:lncRNA from 1 species
GGGUGAGAGACACGGCAGAGGGCUUUGAAGGGUUGACAUCGCAUAAUGUCAUUGAACAGACAUGAGAAAGAUCAGCUUUCAGCAUGAAAACACGGAACUUAAGGGCAGUUGAAUCCAGAGAGUUUUAAUUCUUCAAAGCUAGAAGUAACUCUCUGCACGGAGAGGUUGUCACAGUAAACCCAGGGAAGAAAGCAGCCUCAGUGCGUUACCUGAAGUAGUGAGCUGCCAGACCGCUCUCCACACAGCACAGCAACUGUGGCUUCUCGGUCGUCCACGGGGAGUUUCCAGAACAUAGUGUAUAUCUCAUGGUAUUAGCGUCCCGGGUUUAUCUAGGAAUCACGGCGGUUUUGCCCGUGAUCCUCCUUUCAGGGCUCUAGUACGAAGAGUGGGAAGGACUAACUUCACUUGUUUUGCUUGUAUGACCUUAUUAUACAAAUUCUGAUCAGAAGUCAUGGCAGAAAAUGUGUGUUUCAAAACUGCUCUUGCUCCUUGGCUGCCUGAUGAACUGCGUUGCUAACCCUUGUGUUGUUGGGCUAUUAACAGUUCGCAUGGACUCACGUCACUUUACUGAUAACCGUCACUCAGUCACAUCUUGUCAUCCAAAAUCUGUUUGAAGGCAUGAUAUGGUUCCUUGUCCCCAUAUCAAGCGUCAUCUGCAAUGAUAUCACGGCUUACCUUUUUGGAUUUUUUUUUGGAAGAACUCCUUUAAUUAAGCUGUCUCCUAAGAAGACCUGGGAAGGAUUCAUUGGUGGUUUCUUCUCCACAGUCAUAUUUGGAUUCAUUGCUGCCUAUGUGUUGUCCAAGUAUCAGUACUUUGUGUGCCCGGUGGAGUACCGAAGCGACGUCAACUCCUUCGUGACAGAAUGUGAGCCCUCAGAACUGUUCCAGCUUCAGAAUUACUCCCUCCCUCCGUUCCUACAGGCAGUGCUGAGCCGGGUGAGACAAUCGUCCCUUUAACAUGGUUAGAGCUGUCCCGCCCCACUAAGCUGCCUUUAAAAAGAAGCUCUGAUUUUUAAAGAAAGAUAUAGAGGUGGAUUGUGUGUGUGUCCUCUUCAAGUGGAUGUUAACAGUUCAGGGUAUUUGUUUGUAUAGUAGGAAUUUAUUUGCAUAAUGAUUUAAAUACUGGUAGCAAUUUCGUUUGUGUUGUCUAAGUGUUUUAAAACAUUUAAAAAUAAAUUAAAAAAAUUUUUACAAAUAAAUGAUUUGAAUU